rnacentral:rRNA from 1 species
AGUGAACGCUGGCGGUAGGCCUAACACAUGCAAGUCGAACGGCAGCACAGUAAGAGCUUGCUCUUACGGGUGGCGAGUGGCGGACGGGUGAGGAAUACAUCGGAAUCUACUUUUUCGUGGGGGAUAACGUAGGGAAACUUACGCUAAUACCGCAUACGACCUACGGGUGAAAGCAGGGGAUCUUCGGACCUUGCGCGAUUGAAUGAGCCGAUGUCGGAUUAGCUAGUUGGCGGGGUAAAGGCCCACCAAGUCGACGAUCCGUAGCUGGUCUGAGAGGAUGAUCGGCCACACUGGAACUGAGACACGGUCCAGACUCCUACGGGAGGCAGCAGUGGGGAAUAUUGGACAAUGGGCGCAAGCCUGAUCCAGCCAUACCGCGUGGGUGAAGAAGGCCUUCGGGUUGUAAAGCCCUUUUGUUGGGAAAGAAAAGCAGCAGGUUAAUCCCCCGCUGUUCUGACGGUACCCAAAGAAUAAGCACCGGCUAACUUCGUG